ACAAAUGGAGACAUAGAAAGGCUUCUUUGCGGACUCAAAAUACGAUACGGAAGCAGAAGAUGAAGAAGAUGAGUGUGAAAAGCAAAGAUGGCGUGCAAAUCGACUCUUGGAUUCCAUCUCAAUCGAAUUAAUGAGCUACCAGAUUCGAAUGUUGUUCUAAAGGGCUUGGAUGGAGUGGCCCUUUGCGGCAGGUAUCUCAGGUGCCUUCCUCUUCUCAAGCAAAGGCCACACGUCUUACCCAUAAAUCGAUUCUUAUGGGAUCAAAGCCAUUAUUUCUAGAAAACGAGGAACAAAUUGGCACUGGUGAUGGAGGAAACAUCUACGGUCUAGAAUAGAAGUUUAAAACUCGAGGGAGGUAAAGCAUUAUGGACAAUGAAACUUCGCACUUGAGAGUGAAGAAGAGGCGAAUUCCAAGAAGCACUAAGAAUUCCAUGUAAAAUAACUAGUAAAAAGAGCAAGAAUCAAAGUCCAGAAUUAGAAGCAUCAAUCAAUUGUAUAUGCUAAAACAUUUAUGAACUUUGUAGAGAUAUAGUGAUAUCA